GACGAACGCUGGCGGCGUGCCUAAUACAUGCCAGUAGAACGCUGAAGGAGGAGCUUGCUUCUCUGGAUGAGUUGCGAACGGGUGAGUAACGCGUAGGUAACCUGCCUGGUAGCGGGGGAUAACUAUUGGAAACGAUAGCUAAUACCGCAUAAGAGUAGAUGUUGCAUGACAUUUACUUAAAAGGUGCAAUUGCAUCACUACCAGAUGGACCUGCGUUGUAUUAGCUAGUUGGUGAGGUAACGGCUCACCAAGGCAACGAUACAUAGCCGACCUGAGAGGGUGAUCGGCCACACUGGGACUGAGACACGGCCCAGACUCCUACGGGAGGCAGCAGUAGGGAAUCUUCGGCAAUGGACGGAAGUCUGACCGAGCAACGCCGCGUGAGUGAAGAAGGUUUUCGGAUCGUAAAGCUCUGUUGUAAGAGAAGAACGAGUGUGAGAGUGGAAAGUUCACACUGUGACGGUAUCUUACCAGAAAGGGACGGCUAACUACGU
rnacentral:rRNA from 1 species